rnacentral:rRNA from 1 species
UCCAGAGGGUGCAAGCGUUAAUCGGACUUACUGGGCGUAAAGGGUGCGUAGGCGGGAGCUUAAGUUAGUUGUGAAAGGCCUGGGCUUAACCUAGGAAUUGCAAUUAAGACUGGGCAUCUAGAGUUGAGUAGAGGGGAGCGGAAUUUCCGGUGUAGCGGUGAAAUGCGUAGAUAUCGGAAGGAACACCUGUUGCGAAGGCGGCUCUCUGGACUCAAACUGACGCUGAGGCACGAAAGCGUGGGUAGAGAACAGG